AUUGAACGCUGGCGGCAUGCCUUACACAUGCAAGUCGAACGGCAGCACGGGGCAACCUGGUGGCGAGUGGCGAACGGGUGAGUAAUGCAUCGGAACGUGCCAUUGAGUGGGGGAUAACGUAGCGAAAGUUGCGCUAAUACCGCAUAUUCUGUGAGCAGGAAAGCAGGGGACCGCAAGGCCUUGCGCUCUUUGAGCGGCCGAUGUCAGAUUAGCUAGUUGGUGAGGUAACGGCUUACCAAGGCGACGAUCUGUAGCGGUCUGAGAGGAUGAUCCGCCACACUGGAACUGAGACACGGUCCAGACUCCUACGGGAGGCAGCAGUGGGGAAUUUUGGACAAUGGGCGCAAGCCUGAUCCAGCCAUGCCGCGUGAGUGAAGAAGG
rnacentral:rRNA from 1 species